rnacentral:rRNA from 1 species
CAGCAGCCACGGGAAUACGAAGGGUGCAAGCGUUACUCGGAAUUACUGGGCGUAAAGCGUGCGUAGGUGGUGGUUUAAGUCCGUUGUGAAAGCCCUGGGCUCAACCUGGGAAUUGCAGUGGAUACUGGGUCACUAGAGUGUGGUAGAGGAUAGUGGAAUUUCCGGUGUAGCGGUGAAAUGCGUAGAGAUCGGAAGGAACAUCUGUGGCGAAGGCGACUAUCUGGGCCAACACUGACACUGAGGCACGAAAGCGUGGGGAGCAAACAGGAUUAGAUACCCCAGUAGUCCCUGUCUCUUAUAC